GCCUUGCUUGAUUCAGGCAGCACUCAUAACUUCAUCCACGAAGAGUUGGCCACCAUCGUCGGGCUGCCUUUCUCCUCCAAUCGUCGUUUGGGAGUCACGGUCGCUAAUGGCGAUAAGGUGACCUGUCGGGGACUCCUUCAGCAGGCCGCGAUCACCAUUGACAAGGAGCGUUUCGUUGUUGAUCUGCAUGCCAUUCCAUUGGGCGGGUUCGACAUCGUCCUCGGUACACGAUUCCUCAAAACUCUUGGGCCAAUUCUCUGGGAUUUCACUACGCAGUGGAUGUCAUUUCGGCACUCGGAUCACCGUGUGGAGUGGUCGGGCCUCGGCUCCCUCGGACGUCCUGCCCACCUACACGCGUGCGAAGGCAAGGAACUUCUGGACAGCCUGCUGGCCACUUUUACCGAUGUUUUCGCCGACCCACAGGGCCUGCCGCCGCAGCGCGCACAUGACCAUCAUAUUCAUCUUAUUCCUGGGACACCGCCGGUUGCUGUCUGUCCCUACCGCUACCCAACGAUUCAAAAAGAUGAACUAGAGCGCCAAUGUUCAGAGAUGCUAGCUCGCGGUCUAAUCCGUCCUAGUUCUUCUGCAUUUUCAUCCCCCGUUCUACUCGUCAGAAAGGCCGAC
rnacentral:rRNA from 1 species